UAGCCUUGUCGCGUUCGAGGUUCUGCACCCAGCGGGGUGCAGCUAAGAGGGAACAGGGUUGAUGCCCUGGCUGCCCCCGCAACUGUGAACGGUCCAAAGCCCUUCGAUACACCACUGCCGCCAGGCGGGAAGGUGAAGGGUCGCGCAAGGCGCAGACCGUGAGCCAGGAGACCUGCCUCGUCACGCUUUCGACAA
rnacentral:ncRNA from 1 species